UGGGGAAUAUUGCACAAUGGGCGCAAGCCUGAUGCAGCCAUGCCGCGUGUGUGAAGAAGGCCUUCGGGUUGUAAAGCACUUUCAGCGAGGAGGAAGGGUUCAGUGUUAAUAGCACUGUUCAUUGACGUUACUCGCAGAAGAAGCACCGGCUAACUCCGUGCCAGCAGCCGCGGUAAUACGGAGGGUGCAAGCGUUAAUCGGAAUUACUGGGCGUAAAGCGCACGCAGGCGGUUUGUUAAGUCAGAUGUGAAAUCCCCGCGCUUAACGUGGGAACUACAUUUGAAACUGGCAAGCUAGAGUCUUGUAGAGGGGGGUAGAAUUCCGAGGUGUAGCGGUGAAAUGCGUAGAGAUCUGGAGGAAUACCGGUGGCGAAGGCGGCCCCCCUGGACAAAGACUGACGCUCAGGUGCGAAAGCGUGGGGAG
rnacentral:rRNA from 1 species